rnacentral:rRNA from 1 species
AACGAACGCUGGCGGCAUGCCUAACACAUGCAAGUCGAACGAGAUCUUCGGGUCUAGUGGCGCACGGGUGCGUAACGCGUGGGAAUCUGCCCUUUGGUUCGGAAUAACAGUUGGAAACGACUGCUAAUACCGGAUGAUGACGAAAGUCCAAAGAUUUAUCGCCAGAGGAUGAGCCCGCGUAGGGAUUAGCUAGUUGGUGUGGUAAAGGCGCACCAAGGCGACGAUCCUUAGCUGGUCUGAGAGGAUGAUCAGCCACACUGGGACUGAGACACGGCCCAGACUCCUAGGGGGGGCAGCGGUGGGGAAUAUUGGACAAGGGGCAAAAGCCUGAUCCAGCAUUGCCGGGUGAGGGAUGAAGGCCUUAGGGUUGUAAAGCUUUUUUCCCCGGGAUGAAAAUGACAGUACCGGGAGAAUGAGCCCCGGCUAACUCCGGGCCAGCCGCCGCCGUAA